rnacentral:lncRNA from 1 species
AACGAGAUGAGGCCGCCGAACCACUCACUACUCUAGCUAAGCACCGGUCCUCUCCGAUCCCGUCGCCUUCGACGCUUUCCCCCAUCCGCCUAAACCAAAACAAAUCAGCAAAUCCACCACCCGCUCUUCUCGAGCACGGUCGUCGAGGAUGAGCGACCCGAGGUACGCCAGCUAUCCUUACCCGGCGCAAGGUACGUGUUGUUGUUUAUGCCGCUAGCUAGCUACACUGCUCCGACAGCUAGAGAUCAGCUCGCGAUCAGCCCUCUCCUGCUCUGAUUACUCUUUAAUUCCUGUGGUGUUCUUGCCUCCAAAAGGUUACUACCAAGGGCCGUACCAGGGCCCGCCGGUGAUGGCGCCGCCGCAGUACCAGUACGGCCCGCCGCCGCCGCGCAGGUCGCCGGGCUUCCUCGAGGGCUGGUACGCGUGCUACCAUCUUCUUGACAAUAACUUACACCGCUGGGGCGCUUGGGCUUGUUCCCACCAGCCGCCAUCAUUUCGAUCAUCGGC